UACGUAGGGUGCGAGCGUUGUCCGGAAUUAUUGGGCGUAAAGCGUGCGCAGGCGGUUUUGUAAGUCUGUCGUGAAAUCCCCGGGCUUAACCUGGGAAUUGCGAUGGAGACUGCAAGGCUAGAAUCUGGCAGAGGGGGGUAGAAUUCCACGUGUAGCAGUGAAAUGCGUAGAGAUGUGGAGGAACACCGAUGGCGAAGGCAGCCCCCUGGGUCAAGAUUGACGCUCAUGCACGAAAGCGUGGGGAGCAAACAGG
rnacentral:rRNA from 1 species